UUUAACAAAUAUUAAUGAACUUGAACUUUAGAAAUCGAUGGAUUUUUAAAAAAAAAAAAUCAUUUAUAUUUGUAAGUUAAGACAUGCUAGGACAUUCCAAGUUAUGAAGUCUGACAGACAAUGAGAUGGAAGGAGUGCUUUGGUUCCCAAGCCUCUUUUUUAGUGUUCUUCCCAUUCUUCCUUUCAUGUAACAUUCCUGUUUGAUUGAUUAGUAGGUCUCUAAGGUUAACUAAUUCCUCAUUUUAUCGUAUUUGUUGUGUUCCUUCAGGUGUAUCUUUGCUUCUUAACUUGUCUACAUGUUGAACCUUUCAUAUUAUAGGAUUCCUCUGCAUUUUGUUUCAAGAAAGCUACUGCUUCAAGUCAUUGCAAACACAAUUAAUUCUUACAUUCCCUUUGCUUUGAUCAAAUUGCAAAUUAAGUUUUACAUUUCAAUUGCAAUCUUUUCAGAUGGACCUUCAUGAGGUGGCCCAGAGAAUUGAGAACAAUAGUCCGCCUGCAGAGAUUUUCCGGUCUUUGGUUGAAAGUACGGAAUCUUUGCAUCAUAGUGGAAGUACUGAUCAAAGUCUUGUUGAUGAACUGUGUAGUGCGGAGGGCCUAGCAAACGAAUUCAUGCAGAUGCUGCGCAGUGAUGUUUCCCAGAGAUUCCAAGAUGACCAGGCCCAAUAGGGAACAUUUUUUUUUCAUUUUACACAAUUUGAUUUGUUUCCAAUAGAAUGUUAAGUUGCCGUUUGUUUUGGCCUCAAGUCGACUAUUGAUUAUGGUCUCUUCUUUUUUGGGGUGUCAUGGAGGGAAAAUUAUCAUUAUUGCUAUUCUGGUGUGUAUAUACGCAUGGGAUAGUUCAUCCAGCGAAUGGAACUGUAUUUUUUAGUUAAUAUUGCUAGUUCUGUGUUAGUAACUUAUAACGCCUGCAGUACGAGAGUUUAGAACCGGUUGGUUAGACUUGCAGUGGAAUUUACCAUUCGCUUGUGUGA